AAAAACACUGUCUGACCAGGCUGAGGAGCUUCCCCUGUUGGUCCACACAAACACCGCCCUCUGAUUGAUCCGGUCUGUGGGCUAUAAGUACUGCUCUCGCCAGACUUCUGUCGGUGUCAAGAUGAAGUCCCUGUUCGGAGUCCUCAGUCUGGUUUUAGUCCUGGUCUACAGCCAGGCCGAGGAGCCACAUGUCUGCAACAAGACUCUGGGUCCAGAGGAACUGCACCAGGUGGAUGGGGACUGGGUGCUGGUCUGGGCAAGCUAUGAUAAGGUGAAGGGCUAUGUGGAGAUGCCGCACACGAACAGCUCCCACAUGGAGAUCCGCGUCCAGCCCGACAAUCACACCCUGGUCGUGCACGAGCGCAACCUCUACGCAGGAUCAAAAUGUUUGUCCUACACCUUCAACCUGACCCUCCCCAGAGCCAUGAGGACACAACCGUCUGGACUUUGUGGGAGAAAGUGA
rnacentral:lncRNA from 1 species